rnacentral:rRNA from 1 species
ACUCCUACGGGAGGCUGCAGUCGAGGAUCUUGGACAAUGUGCGAAAGCGUGAUCCAGCGACGUCGCGUGCAGGAUGACGGCCUUCGGGUUGUAAACUGCUGUCGUGAGGGAGAAAUGGCGCGGGCGCUAACAUCGUUCGCGCGUGAUAGUACCUCAGGAGGAAGACACGGCUAACUCUGUGCCAGCAGCCGCGGUAAUACAGAGGUGUCGAGCGUUGUUCGGAUUUACUGGGCGUAAAGGGUGCGUAGGCGGUUCCGUGUGUCGGAUGUGAAAUCCUGCCGCUCAACGGCAGAACGGCAUCCGAAACUACGGUGCUUGAGUUCGGGAGAGGAAGGCGGAAUUCCAGGUGUAGCGGUGAAAUGCGUAGAUAUCUGGAGGAACACCCGUGGCGAAGGCGGCCUUCUGGACCGAUACUGACGCUGAGGCACGAAGGCCGGGGGAGCAAACAGGAUUAGAUACCCUGGUAGUCCCGGCAGUAAACGGUGUGCACUUGGUGUGGGGGGAGUUACUCCCCUCCGUGCCGGAGCUAACGCGUUAAGUGCACCGCCUGGGG